rnacentral:rRNA from 1 species
AUUGAACGCUGGCGGCAGGCCUAACACAUGCAAGUCGAACGAGUGGCGGACGGGUGAGUAAUGUCUGGGAACCUGCCCGAUGGAGGGGGAUAACUACUGUAAACGUUAGCUAAUACCGCAUACCAUCGGAUGUGCCCAGAUGGGAUUAGCUAGUAGGUGGGGUAACGGCUCACCUAGGCGACGCUCCCUAGCUGGUCUGAGAGGAUGACAGGCCACACUGGAACUGAGACACGGCCCAGACUCCUACGGGAGGCAGCAGUGGGGAAUAUUGCACAAUGGGCGAAAGCCUGAUGCAGCCAUGCCGCGUGGAUGAAGAAGGCCUUCGGGUUGUAAAGUACUUUCAGUGAGGAGGCGUUACUCGAAGAAGAAGCACCGGCUAACUCCGUGCCAGCCGCCGCGGUAAUAC